AGAAAAGACAAAUAUUCACAGACAUGAACAGACUGAACUCUCUGUUCAACAGAGAGAAAGUUUCUCUGACAGGAGGAGACUCUGCUACACUGAACACAGAGACAAUGAGGAACCAGACCGCCAGAACCCAAACCCAGGAUACAGAGGUUCAGUGAAUGUGGUGUUGAAGGUGUGGAGGUGGAUCAGAGAGUCAGAGGAGACUCUGUAGAAGGACAGAGAGCCAGCAGGACAGUCCACAUACACUGCUACUCUGUUAGAGACAGAGGAGGAGGAAGAGGAGGAGGAGGAGGAGGAGAUAUUUGUUCUUUUGUUAUUGUGACAGAAACAGUAAC